ACGACCCAGAGAUGAACCCAUCGCGGAUGUAAAAAUUACAACAAUCCGAGAGCGCAAUACUCAACCGUGUGGAUUAUUCCGUUGCCUUCCUUCUGACGGAGUUU
rnacentral:snoRNA from 1 species